rnacentral:rRNA from 1 species
AUACGUAGGUGGCAAGCGUUGUCCGGAUUUACUGGGUGUAAAGGGCGUGUAGGCGGAGAUGCAAGUCAGGAGUGAAAUCUAGGGGCUCAACCCCUAAACUGCUUUUGAAACUGUAUCCCUUGAGUAUCGGAGAGGUUAUCGGAAUUCCCGGUGUAGCGGUGAAAUGCGUAGAGAUCGGGAGGAACACCAGUGGCGAAGGCGGGUAACUGGACUGCAACUGACGCUGAGGCGCGAAAGUGUGGGGAGCAAACAGGAUUAGAUACCCUGGUAGUCCACACUGUAAACGAUGAAUGCUAGGUGUAGGAGGUAUCGACCCCUUCUGUGCCGCAGUAAACACAGUAAGCAUUCCGCCUGGGGAGUACGGUCGCAAGAUUAAAACUCAAAUGAAUCGACGGGG